rnacentral:misc_RNA from 1 species
AGCCCCGCUCACCUUAAAAACAUUGUAGUGAUCUUGCCUGUUGGCCGGUUUGACUUGGCGUUAUAAAUUAUUUCGCUGAGGACACUCGCAAGGGUGGCCGAUUGACUGCUUGGUCUCGUCUCAAAGUGCUCCACACUUACAGAGGCUACAACUUCUUGACAUCUGGCCUCAAAUCAGGUAGGACUACCCGCUGAACUUAA